rnacentral:rRNA from 1 species
UACAUAGGGGGCAAGCGUUAUCCGGAAUUACUGGGUGUAAAGGGUGCGUAGGCGGCAUAAUAAGUCAGGUGUGAAAACCCGGAGCUCAACUCCGGGAAUGCAUUUGAAACUAUUAAGCUAGAGUACAGGAGAGGUAAGUGGAAUUCCUAGUGUAGCGGUGAAAUGCGUAGAUAUUAGGAAGAUCACCAGUGGCGAAGGCGACUUACUGGACUGAAACUGACGCUGAGGCACGAAAGCGUGGGGAGCGAACAGG